CCAAUCGAACUCGGAGAUAGCUGGUUCUCCCCGAAAUAGCUUUAGGGCUAGCGUUGGCUUAGAUUACCGGAGGUAAAGCACUGAAUGGGCUAGGGGCCGAUAAGGUUACUGAACCCUAUCAAACUCUGAAUGCCGGAUAAUUGAUGGCCAGCAGUCAGUCUACGUGAGAUAAGUCUCGUGGACAAAAGGGAAACAGCCCAGACCCACAGCUAAGGUCCCAAAGAUACGCUAAGUGGAAAACGAUGUGGAGUUGCGAAAACAACCAGGAUGUUGGCUUAGAAGCAGCCACUCAUUAAAAGAGUGCGUAAUAGCUCACUGGUCGAGUGACUCUGCGCGGAAAAUGUAACGGGGCUAAGCAUCUAACCGAAGCUUAGGAUUGUCGUAAGACAGUGGUAGGGGAGCGUUCCAUGUGGGGUGAAGUCGUAGCGGAAGCAGCGGUGGACUGCAUGGAAGUGAGAAUGCCGGAAUGAGUAGCGAGAAUUAUGUGGGAAUCAUAAUGGCCGAAAAUCUAAGGUUUCUUGGGGAAGGUUCGUCCGCCCAAGGUAAGCCGGGAGCUAAGGCGAGGCCGAAAGGCGUAGUCGAUGCACAUACGGUAGAAAUUCCGUAGCCACCGAACUUUAAGUCAGAGGGACACUUUUGGAUAGCGGAACCCGGGCGUUGGUUGACCCGGGCGAAAGGGAGCGAAAAUAUAGUAGCGAAGUCCGCGAUGCUGAGAGGCGAGAAAAGCUCUGAUGGAUACUAAGGUGCCCGUACCGCAAACCGACACAGGUAGAUGAGGAGAGAAUCCUAAGGCCAACGGGAGAAGGGUUGUUAAGGAACUCGGCAAGUUGACCCCGUAACUUCGGAAUAAGGGGUGCUCACGAGAGUGAGCCGCAGAGAAUAGGUCCAGGCGACUGUUUAGCAAAAACACAGGUCUAUGCUAAAUCGAAAGAUGACGUAUAUGGGCUGACGCCUGCCCGGUGCUGGAAGGUUAAGAGGAGAUGUGAGAGCAUUGAAUCGAAGCCCCAGUAAACGGCGGCCGUAACUAUAACGGUCCUAAGGUAGCGAAAUUCCUUGUCAGGUAAGUUCUGACCCGCACGAAAGGCGUAAUGAUUUGGGCACUGUCUCAACAGCCCGCCCGGCGAAAUUGUAGUACUGGUGAAGAUACCAGUUACCCGCAACUAGACGGAAAGACCCCAUGGAGCUUUACUGCAGCUUAAUACUGGAAUUCGGUAACCCAUGUACAGGAUAGGUGGGAGGCUUGGAAGCAGGGGCGUCAGCUCCUGUGGAGCCGCCGGUGGGAUACCACUCUUGGAUUGCUGAAUUUCUAACCUGCGGCCGUGAAUCCGGUCGGGGGACACUGUUAGGCGGGCAGUUUGACUGGGGCGGUCGCCUCCUAAAGAGUAACGGAGGCGCUCAAAGGUUGGCUCAGCACGGACGGAAAUCGUGCAGUGAGUGUAAACGUAGAAGCCAGCCUAACUGCGAGACCGACGGGUCGAGCAGUAACGAAAGUUGGAGUUAGUGAUCCGGUGGUAUGUGAGUGGAAAUGCCAUCGCUCAACGGAUAAAAGCUACCCUGGGGAUAACAGGCUGAUCUCCCCCAAGCGUCCACAGCGACGGGGAGGUUUGGCACCUCGAUGUCGGCUCGUCACAUCCUGGGGCUGAAUUCGGUCCCAAGGGUUCGGCUGUUCGCCGAUUAAAGUGGCACGCGAGCUGGGUUCAGAACGUCGUGAGACAGUUCGGUCCCUAUCUGUUGCGGGCGGAAGAGAUUUGAAGGGAGCUGUCCUUAGUACGAGAGGACCGGGAUGGACGUACCUCUGGUGCACCAGUUGUCCUGCCAAGGGCAUAGCUGGGUAGCUAAGUACGGACGAGAUAAACGCUGAAAGCAUCUAAGCGUGAAACUCCCCCUAAGAUGAGAUCUCUCACCUCGAAAGAGGGUAAGGGCCCAGGAAGACUACCUGGUAGAUAGGCCGGAGGUGGAAGUGCAGUAAUGUAUGGAGCUGACCGGUACUAAUCGCCCGAGGGCUUGACCUA
rnacentral:rRNA from 1 species